ensembl:snRNA U4 U4 spliceosomal RNA
AGCUUUGCACAUUGACAGUAUCAUAGCCAAUGAGAUUUUUCCGAGGCACGAUUACUGCUAAUUAAAAACUAAAUAAAAAUAUACAGGUUAAUAUAUAAACUAUUUUUCAGAAA